CGGGUUGGUGAGUGCCCGCCAGAGUCCAACCAAACUCUUGUAUUAAACCAGUCGUCUGAGUAUAAAAUUUUAAUUAAAUUAAAACUUUCAACAACGGAUCUCUUGGUUCUCGCAUCGAUGAAGAACGCAGCGAAAUGCGAUAAGUAAUGUGAAUUGCAGAAUUCAGUGAAUCAUCGAAUCUUUGAACGCACAUUGCGCCCCUUGGUAUUCCGAGGGGCAUGCCUGUUCGAGCGUCAUUACACCACUCAAGCAUUGCUUGGUAUUGGGAACGGUCCGUCGAAAGGCGGGCCUUCCUCGAAGACCUCGGCGGGGUUCAACCAACUUCGGGCGUAGUAGAGUUAAAUCGAACGUCUUAUAAGCUUGGUCGGAUCUCAUUGCCGUUAAACCUUUUAUUUUCUAGGUUGACCUCGGAUCAGGUAGGGAUACCCGCUGAACUUAAGCAUAUCAAUAAGCGGAGGAAAAGAAACCAACAGGGAUUGCCCUAGUAACGGCGAGUGAAGCGGCAAUAGCUCAAAUUUGAAAGCUGGCCUUCGGGUCCGCAUUGUAAUUUGUAGAGGAUGCUUUUAGGCAGCCGCCGGUCUAAGUUCCUUGGAACAGGACGUCAUAGAGGGUGAGAAUCCCGUAUGUGACCGGCUCAGGCACCUUCUGUAAAGCUCCUUCGACGAGUCGAGUUGUUUGGGAAUGCAGCUCUAAAUGGGAGGUAAAUUUCUUCUAAAGCUAAAUACUGGCGAGAGACCGAUAGCGCACAAGUAGAGUGAUCGAAAGAUGAAAAGUACUUUGGAAAGAGAGUUAAAAAGCACGUGAAAUUGUUGAAAGGGAAGCGCUUGCAAUCAGACUUGGCC
rnacentral:rRNA from 1 species